CCAUUCAUUGAGGAUGCAGAUUGCGAAUCGUGGGCUGUGACCUCCCUGCCUGUCGUCUUCGUCUCCGGCGAGCAAAGCAGCGGCGGAAAGAGAGAGGGAUGGGGUACCUCUGGCGGGUGCGGCUGUCGUCGUUCGCGGCUGGCGCCGCGGCGACGUCGGCGGCGGGUUUCUUCCUCCUCUUCAAAGACCAUCUCCUUGUCCGCACCACAAUCUUCCGGCGGGUGGAGGAAAUUAAGGAAACUUCUGAAAAGCAUUAUGAAGCCCUAAAUAGGAGGAUAUCAGCACUGGAAAGCAGAAAAGAAUCAGGAGCUAUUAAAGAGGCAUCUGAUUAGUUCAAUGAGUUGGGCUCAUGUAAUGGUUACAUCUGCCCAGAUGUUUUUGAUUGCUGCAUGUGCUGCAAAGUCAAGGGCAUUAUAAGCUCACUAUUCACAUUCUGGUGUCAUCCUGGGGACCAAGUGUUAUCUUACCAACUGCAACACAUGGGUGACAAUAUCAUAAGGGAAUGAUCAUCAGAAUGAUAUUAUCUCUAAUAGGGUGGUGAGGAAAUGGUCUGCCAUGAUUGCUAGUUUGCUACUGCAAUGGUGGGAACAUGCCUGGGGCAUUGGCAGGUCAUUCUGGAGGAUGCUGGUGGCCUAGUGGUCAUUCAUGGCUUUUUGGCGAAUCUCACAAUAUCUAGCUUUUUUGGUGACUAGCGCAAAUUUAGGGGUACUGUAAGCUCACACCAUAUGCUUUGCAGUAUCAUCCUUUGAACUUACUGUAAUAUCUUACCAAUCAUUACACAUGGGUGAAAAGAUGCUGCAGGAAUGAUCUGUAAUCUCA